rnacentral:rRNA from 1 species
UACGUAGGGGGCUAGCGUUGUCCGGAAUCAUUGGGCGUAAAGCGCGCGCAGGCGGCGAUCUACGUCUGGGGUGAAAGCCCGGAGCUCAACUCCGGGACUGCCUUGGAUACGGGAUCGCUUGAGGAUUGGAGAGGCAAGGGGAAUUCCACGUGUAGCGGUGAAAUGCGUAGAUAUCGGAAGGAACAUCAGUGGCGAAAGCGACUUCCUGGACCAGUACCGACGUUCAGGCACGAAAGCGUGGGGAGCAAACAGG